GCCUCAGUAGCUCAGUGGUAGAGCGUACCCUUGGUAAGGGUAAGGUCAUGGGUUCAAUCCCCAUCUGAGGCU
rnacentral:tRNA from 1 species